rnacentral:misc_RNA from 1 species
UGAUCAUGGGCACAAAAAAUGGUACUUGAACCAGCAAGGAAAAACUUAGAAGUUGAUUUUUGAUCUACCUUGAAAGGUAUGUCCACGUUGAUGGCAUUUAAUCGUUUACACUUGGGGAGUUUGGCAGGGAAAAGGAGAUACAUACAAGAAUUUCUUGUAAAUUUUUUAGCAUCCAAAGAAGUUGAUAUUAUUUUCUCUGAACUAUUUUUUUUAGUUGGAGUUGCGGUUGUGUGUUUGUUGAAUAAUAUUAUUUUGUGUGAUAUUAUUAUCGAGUCUUGUUAAACGUGUUUUGGUUUUAUGUAUCUGGAACUGAGAGGGUAACUCUGGAAUGGAGAGACUCAAAUUGCUGCCUCUGCUUUUGCUAAUAAAUUCUUUCAUUUCUUUUUGUUGCUUAGAAUCUACAAUUAGGAUGUUCAUUCGAAUUAAUCAUAUUUAAUUAUUUUAAUAAAACAUAAUGAGAUUUUCAAGUUGAUUUAAUUAAUUUAUUUUUUAAAAGAGAUUUGGAAUGAAGGGCCUUCAUGUAGAACAGGUUAAGGAAUAAGUCUACAAAUACUUUUAUGGUUGGAAAAUCUUAAGCAACUGAUGAGUUUUAGGGUUCUAAUUUUAAGGAAGAAGGGGUUUUGGGAUUAGGAAAUUGAAGUAGAGCUUGUAAGAGUGAUGAAAGAAAAGAAAUUGUAUGUUGCUGCGUCUGUGAACAAUACCAGAGGUGCUUUGGGAGCAGAAUAGAGAAGCAGCAAAAACUUGUUAAAAAAAAGGUACAUUGGUAGACUGCAUAGUUUGUCUAUUCAAUGCAAGUUCAAAUGAAAAACUUUGGGAUGUUGCGACUUGUCUUUUCAGGCUUUUGAAUAACCUAGCACAAUCCAGAUUCUAUGAGCUCGGUAUCAUCGUUGUGAGGAAGCAUGCUUGAAAGAUUCUUGGUCAA